rnacentral:lncRNA from 1 species
GUGGUAGACAAGAUCAUCACUGUUUGACUCCUGAUGACAUUGGCAUUGACUAUUGUCCUCCAACAUUUGCUUUGCUUGGUGAAGACUGUUGAGCACUUGCUGAUUUUUCAGAAGUCCAAAAGAUUCUCUUCUGUCAUGACUGGGUCCAGAAAUUCCCAUCAAGUCACUAUCCGUUCUUGAAGAUCUUCUUUCCCAGAACUGGUUCUCAGCAGACCAUUAGACAAGGAUUUGGUGCUACUGAACUCUUGAUCUGUCCAAGAUUGUGUUGGUUAUUGUCCUUCUAGGAGCAAGGAGUUCUACAGGGCUUUGUACCCUGUUGACACUCAGGCCAAGGUCACUGGUAGGUUUCACUCCACAGGACCAUUCAGUUACUGCAAGGAAGUCCCUGCUUGGGCCGUUUAUUUUUUUCUUUAUAAGUAACCCCAAAGGAGAUGGCAUGAUGACGUAGAAUCCAAAUUGACUAAAGCAACCUUUUUUUUGAGACAGGGUCUCAGUCUGUCACCCAGGCUGGAGUGCAGUGGUGUGAUCACAGCUCACUGCAGUCUGAAGCCUCAACCUCCUGGGCUCAUGCAAUCUGUCUGCCUUAGCCUCCUGAGUAUCUGGGAUCACUGGUGCACACCACCAUACCCAGCAAAUUUAUUUUAUUUUAUUUUAGUAGAAAUGAGUCCCGUCAUGUUGCCCAGGUUGGUCUCAAACUCCUGGGCUCAAGCCAUCCUCCUGCCUUGGUCUCCCAAGUCGCUGGGAUUACAGGUGUGAGUCACCGUGCCUGGUGUCCAUAGGAACCUUGGUUCUAAAAGGCAAGUGAAUAAGGAUAUACCUUUGCUUGGUACGUUGCAAGAUAUUUGAGUGCCUGGCAUGUAGUGAGUACUAAAAAAAGGUGAAUCCGAAUCAAGAAGCUUAAAGCCAACCAGGGCCAUUGUGGGUUCUGGAUAUUAGUUAUAGGUUCAGAGAUAUCAGUUCUGCUUUAUCCCCAAUCCUCAUCAUACCUUUCCUCAAAGAGAGAGGAAGAGAUGGCGCCAGCACUCACCCUUUCCCAUCUUCACUUGCAGGAAAGACACUGGUUUAGAAGUCAGGACCCAGGCAUCUGAGAUGCCCUUGACCCUGACCCUGGCUCUUGGGGCCCAGCAGGUGGUCUCUGUGUCCCAUGUUUUGUCUCUCCAGAGUCAUCCUCCAGGGGAACACACACUCACCCCGACCAUGGGAAGGGAGGUCUGGCUAAAGGAGGAGGCCACUGCAAUGACUGAACACCUACUUUGUGAGCAAGCACCAACUAUGUGUCAGAUGCUGUCCAAAGUGCGGUGUGUCCAACAUUUUCACCAUUCUUGGUGCCUUAUCUCUAAGGAAAAAGGUCUGCAACCUUGAACUUCUGAGUUGGACUGUCUUGGAGACUCCUCUAUGCAAGUUACUGUGGGACCUUACAGGUGAUUUAGCCCUUCUGGACCCCCAGUGACCUCACCUGUGGAAUGGGGAUCAUGAGAACACCUUCAUUUCAGGAGUUGUGUGAGGAUUAAAUGAGAUGAUGAAGGCAUGGCACAGGGCUUGUUAUAAGGGCUCUGCAAAUUUUAGUCAUGCGGGUGAUGAUGAAGAAGAAAUGCGAGUGCUCUAAAGGCUCCCCAAGGUGUUAUCCUUGGCUUCGCUGCUGCCUAGAAUUUGCAGCGGGGCAGCAAGAAGGCCCUGAUGCUGGCAGUCCUGGGAAGCCUGAGUGUUUCUCACUUGCCUAGUGGCCUGGGGACAAUCACUUUCUCCUUCCGCACCUUCAGAUCGGGGUCUGAGGGUUGAGUCCCCAGGGCUCUGGGUCAGAGGCACAAUGUCAGAGUUGUUCCAAAGGACAGAAAGUCCCCUCUCCUCCAGGCGCCCAAGCCACACCCUUAACUCCUCUGGGUCAGGCCACCUCCUGUCCCCUCUGCCUGCUGAAGGUGGGAGGAGUAGGGAGGAGGGGUGGGGUAGCAGAGGAGAAGGGCCCUGGAGGAACGGCGAGCCCUCCAGGGCCAGGGUGUCUCUCCCCCUCCCCGCCCAGAGCACAGCGGACUUGCUCUAGUUCUCUCCUCCCAGCGGCUGGGUCUCCA